GCCAGAUUCCUUCUCUCUUCUCUCUCUUUGUUUCUCUCCUUUUUACGCAUAAAACUAAAAUAAAAUAAUUUCACCGCAAUUCACAGUCGCUUCCCGUUUCCAGUCCUCCCCUCCUCUCUCUUCUUCUUCUUCCUCAGACUCUUGUCCAGUUUCGUUUUCUUCAUUUGAUUGGUUCUUGCUCUUCAUUUUCAUUUUCUCCAGUUCUUCUGGUGUAUUCAGUUACCCAGCCCUCCCCCUUCUUCGGCUCUUCUUCUUCCUUUUCAGUUCGUCUUCUUUGGAAGUUGAUGCUUGAGGUGUUAAAUAUCAGCAUUUGGUCAUUUAGAAGAGAUGAGAUGCUGCUGAAAUUUUGACCGAUGUUUUCACUGAAUGAACAAAAAUUUUGGCCAAAGCUUUUGCCCGAAACAUUGUGAUCCUGGCGGGCCCUGAAUCUCCACACAAUAUGCAGAGAAGAAUAAUAUGGAGAACUUGCAGUUUUACAAGAUUCAUUGUCGACUUGAUCAAAAGGCGUGUUUUGAAUUGGAGAGAACCCUUACCUUAGUUGGUGAUGCAGAUUAUCCUUUGCAUGCGGAUGUACCAAGACCUCCAAGGAAAAUGUCAGAGAGGAAGCCAUACCCUACACCCAUGAAGGAGGAGAAAGAAGCCCGAAAGGCCCAGACUUGUAGGAUGCUUGAAGAACCUCCUGAUAAUGGAUUGUUGGUCCUGUUUGGCUUGUCAAAGCUUCUUCAAGUUGUUCCUGUCCAACGGUGCAGGUAGCCAAGAAGAAAAAAGAAAGAGAGAAGGGAAGGAAAUAAAAUAUAUAUUUUUUAUAAUUUUAGAUUGA